rnacentral:rRNA from 1 species
CCUACGGGGGGCAGCAGUGGGGAAUAUUGCACAAUGGGGGAAACCCUGAUGCAGCGACGCCGCGUGAGUGAAGAAGUAUUUCGGUAUGUAAAGCUCUGUCAGCAGGGAAGAAAGAAAUGACGGUACCUGACCAAGAAGCCCCGGCUAACUACGUGCCAGCAGCCGCGGUAAUACGUAGGUGGCAAGCGUUGUCCGGAUUUACUGGGUGUAAAGGGCGUGUAGCCGGGCCGGCAAGUCAGAUGUGAAAUCCCAAGGCU